GACUCUCAUGACAGGACAACGGGGCCCGCUAUCCCACUGCUCCUUUUAUCCGACUCCAGGAACAACAUCGUAUCGUCUUCAGGAAGAUUUUGGCGAGAACGGGCAUAAUUCGCUUCCCCAAGCCCCAAAGUUGGGUUUCUGACCCGGCGCAUGUGCUGGACGCCUCGGGGCGGAGCCUGGGCUGGCGCGUGUGGCGGGCACUGCGAGCGGCGCGCACUAUAAAGCGGGACGCGCGGCCACUCGCGCAUGCUUUCGAGAGAGGGAGCGCCUGGUGCAUCUUCAAGCUGAGGGACCACCCACUACAACCCCAUCUUGGGUCCUCCUUGGAGCUGAACAGAGGAAGGAGGAGAAACAGCCCCGGGGUUGGGGGUAGGACGGUGCUGGAGUCAGUUGCUGCAGAUCAUACGAGUGACACGCAUGGACGAGCCGUAGUGAGGGGUGGUCAAGGGGAGCUGAGGGGGGCAGGGGGAGUAUGGGCCAC
rnacentral:lncRNA from 1 species